rnacentral:pre_miRNA from 1 species
CUGGCUGCAGGCCUCAGCAAACAGUCUUAGGUGUCUCUACUAUGGCCUGGGCUCUCUUGCUCCUUACCUGCCUCACUGACUGCACAGGUGA